rnacentral:lncRNA from 1 species
UUUAGUUCCAGCCCACUGCCUGCGUUGGAAGUCCGAGAGGAAACGAACACAGGGAGUUCUCCGGGAGGCUGACUUACACUUCCUCACGGAUGCGGGAGACUUGGGUUUUCCAAGCUAAAGGUGACAUUUCAUCGUCUCCCAACAUUGUACCUGAUGAUUUGGUGUUUGCAAAGCUGAGCACCGAAUUUCAUGUGUGUGCACUACAAAUUGGAUCUGCAGGUCCAGCCACGUCAGACCCCAUCAGCCACUCUGUGUCCCAGGUAGAGCGGGGAGGAGGGCCACAGAAGCUGGUUUAUGAGCACAGGAAAUGCUUAUUUCACGACUCAGACUCCGUGGCUUUGUGAGCGUCUGCUCUGCUCCCUCGAGCACUUCAGAAUUUCAGGAAGGAAGUUUUGCUCCAACCACCUUCAUCUACUGCUGUCCCCUGCGUUCCCCCGAUGAGGUCCCUUUGUGCCUUGGCACAGUCCAUUUUCCCAUCUGAAUUUGCCCCCUCUUAGAAAUCCAUGAAGCUCUCUUCCUUCAGAAUCUGGCUCAAAAUUAAAUUUCUCUGAAAAAUUUAAUCACUAUUCCAAUUGCUUCUUUAUUUCUUGAU